GCAGGCAGCCAGACCACCUGCAGGUCAGACAUGGUAACCCAUCUGACACUAAGCAGGUUUGGGCCUACCCAGUACGUGGAUGGGAGAUUAACUAGGUAAGCUGGGAUGCCAGUG
rnacentral:rRNA from 1 species